UGAGGAACAUGACCUUCGGCGGGGGAUAGCCGGCCCAACGGCCGGGUAAUACCGCGUACGACCACAUGGGGACAUCCCUGAGUGGUGAAAGCAGCAAUGCGCCGAUGGAGUGCCUCGCGGCCUAUCAGCUAGUUGGUGAGGUAACGGCUCACCAAGGCGACGACGGGUAGCUGGUCUGAGAGGAUGGCCAGCCACAGUUGGGACUGAGACACGGCCCAGACCUNUACCGGGAGG
rnacentral:rRNA from 1 species